UUUGGGGAAAAAAAGUCAGUUUCGGCCAAGGGCAUCCUGAAUUUUCGGUUUCAGCCCAGAAUUCUCAUUUCGGUGCAUUCCUGGUUUUGGGUUUUUAGAGCACUGGGCUAGUUUUGCGCUUGGGUACAACCUGUAUAGUCAUGAUGGAUUGCACCCAAACGGAAGAGCAGUGGUGUAUCCUGGUUUUUUGCUGCCCUAGGCAGGACAAAACUCAGGCGCCCCCCUGCCCCCGUGCCACCCCCACCCAACCCUUCCCCCCGCCCCACCUUCUAAAUACACACACAGUCAGACACAAACACACACACACAGUCAGACACAUACACACACACACAGUUAGACACAUACACAAACACACACAGUCAGACACAUACACAGACACAAACACACAGUCAGACACAUACACAGACACA